GACGAACGCUGGCGGCGUGCUUAACACAUGCAAGUCGAACGGAAAGGCCCCUUUGGGGGUACUCGAGUGUCGAACGGGGGAGUAACACGUGAGUAACCUGCCCUUGACUUCGGGAUUACUUCAGGAAACUGGGGCUAAUACCGGAAAGGAAUCCUUGCUGCAUGGUGGGGGUUGGAAAGCUUCGGCGGUUUUGGAUGUACUGGCGGGUUAUCGGCUUGUUGGUGGGGUAGUGGCUUACCAAGGCUUUGACGGGUAGCCGGCCUGAGCGGGCGACCGGCCACAUUGGGACUGAGAUACGGCCAAGACUCCGACGGGAGGGAGCAGUGGGGAAUAUUGCACAAUGGGCGGCAGCCUGAUGCAGCAACGCCGCGUGCGGGAUGACGGCCUUCGGGUUGUAAACCGCUUUCAGCAGGGGCGAAGCUUGUGGUGACGGUACCUGCAGAAGAAGCACCGGCUAACUACGUG
rnacentral:rRNA from 1 species